rnacentral:rRNA from 1 species
GCCGGUACUCCGAAUGACUCUAGAUUAGAGUUUGAUCAUGGCUCAGACUUGAACGCUGGCGGCAGGCCUAACACAUGCAAGUCGAGCGGAUGACGGGAGCUUGCUCCUUGAUUCAGCGGCGGACGGGUGAGUAAUGCCUAGGAAUCUGCCUGGUAGUGGGGGACAACGUUUCGAAAGGAACGCUAAUACCGCAUACGUCCUACGGGAGAAAGCAGGGGACCUUCGGGCCUUGCGCUAUCAGAUGAGCCUAGGUCGGAUUAGCUAGUUGGUGGGGUAAUGGCCCACCAAGGCGACGAUCCGUAACUGGUCUGAGAGGAUGAUCAGUCACACUGGAACUGAGACACGGUCCAGACUCCUACGGGAGGCAGCAGUGGGGAAUAUUGGACAAUGGGCGAAAGCCUGAUCCAGCCAUGCCGCGUGUGUGAAGAAGGUCUUCGGAUUGUAAAGCACUUUAAGCUGGGAGGAAGGGCAGUAAGCUAAUACCUUGCUGUUUUGACGUUACCGACAGAAUAAGCACCGGCUAACUCUGUGCCAGCAGCCGCGGUAAUACAGAGGGUGCAAGCGUUAAUCGGAAUUACUGGGCGUAAAGCGCGCGUAGGUGGUAUGUACAAGUUGGAUGUGAAAGCCCCGGGCUCAACCUGGGAACUGCAUUCCAAACUGGCAAGCUAGAGUACGGUAGAGGUGGUGGAAUUUCUGUGUAGCGGUGAAAUGCGUAGA